CCAGAUCUCGCGGCCUAUCAGCUUGUUGGUGGGGUAACGGCCUACCAAGGCAACGACGGGUAGCUGGUCUGAGAGGACGAUCAGCCACACUGGGACUGAGACGCGGCCCAGACUCCUACGGGAGGCAGCAGUGGGGAAUUUUGCGCAAUGGGCGAAAGCCUGACGCAGCAACGCCGCGUGCGGGAAGAAGGCCCUCGGGUUGUAAACCGCUUUCGGCAGGAACGAAAUUGACGGUACCUGCAGAAGAAGCCCCGGCCAACUACGUGCCAGCAGCCGCGGUAAUACGUAGGGGGCGAGCGUUGUCCGGAUUCAUUGGGUGUAAAGAGCUCGUAGGCGGUUCGGUAAGUCAGGUGUGAAAACUCCAGGCUCAACUUGGAGACGCCACCUGAUACUGUCGUGACUAGAGUCCGGUAGGGGAGCAUGGAAUUCCUGGUGUAGCGGUGAAAUGCGCAGAUAUCAGGAGGAACACCAGCGGCGAAGGCGGUGCUCUGGGCCGGAACUGACGCUGAGGAGCGAGAGCGUGGGGAGCGAACAGGAUUAGAUACCCUGGUAGUCCACGCCGUAAACGUUGGGCACUAGGUGUGGGGCUCUGUCAACGAGUUCCAUGCCGUCGCUAACGCAUUAAGUGCCCCGCCUGGGGAGUACGGAAGCUUGGAAUUCGC
rnacentral:rRNA from 1 species